rnacentral:rRNA from 1 species
AACGAACGCUGGCGGCGUGGAUUAGGCAUGCAAGUCGAACGCGAAAGAGGGGGUAACUCCUCGAGUAGAGUGGCGAACGGGUGAGUAACACGUGAGAAACCUGCCUUCAGCAGGGGGAUAACACUCCCAACGGGGUGCUAAUACCGCAUGAGACCACGGAUUCGCAUGGAUCUGGGGUCAAAGGUGGCCUCUGCUUGCAAGCUACCGGCUGAAGAUGGUCUCGCGCCCAUUAGCUAGUUGGUGGGGUAAUGGCCCACCAAGGCGACGAUGGGUAGCUGGUCUGAGAGGAUGGUCAGCCACACUGGGACUGAGAUACGGCCCAGACUCCUACGGGAGGCAGCAGUCGAGAGGCUUUGGCAAUGGGGAAACCCUGACCAAGCGACGCCGCGGUGGGGGAUGAAGGCCCUUGGGUUGUAACCCCUUUUGUUGGGGAAGAACGCGAUCAGGUGAAUAAUCUGGUCGUUUGACGGUACCCGACGAAUAAGCUCCGGCUAACUCCGUGCCA